AGAAACCAAACAAAACAAAGAACAAAAACAAAAGGACUGGUUUCUUAAAGAAAAGAUUUCCAGGAAUUCAAGGAAGUUCUUGGUUGGUGGUGGAAUAGGAAUGACUUUGACCCUUUCAAACUCUGAGGUAGCAGAAGGGCCUGGAAAUGUUCACUUCUGUCUCUUCGGAACUGACCCCAAAGAGGGACAAGCACUUGCUUGCUCAAGAGCCCUGAAUCAUUCACUUUCAGUUAAAUUCCGUGCAGUUUCCUCUGCGAUUAUUCAUGUUUUGCCCAGAAAUCUGGCUCCUUGCCUUCCUCCCCUAGCCCCCUGAUCUGGAACCAUUUUUGGGAAACACCUUCAGCUCCAUCUUAUGGUGCCAGGAGAACAGAGGUGCAGAACCAUUUCUGGACAGCCACACAGCAAAAUGGGGGUGCCUGUUAGGGGAGGAGGUGUGUUGAGCAAGCAGACUGGAGGGAGCCAGAAAUGCAGCCUCCCCAUCAGCACCCUCCAGAUGUGCACAUGAUGGAAAUGCCUUCACAGCCAAGUGCCCUCCCUUCAAGAAGAAAAUCCCACAACUGGGGAACAUCUGGAUCAAAACGCUGCCAUGAAAGCACAACAUCAAACGAGGGUUUCCUAGCGACCCUGCCCACAGGCCCUGGUCCAAGAAAAAUUGCAGGUCUUCCUGCUUGAAGUUUUUAAGUGUCACAGAACUCCUCAAGUUCGGGAUCUGACCUGAUUCACCGGAGACAGAUGUCCCCAAUGAGCUUGCUUAGGCCCGGCCUGACUGGUGUUCUGCAACAUCACCCAACACUGAAUAUGGCGUUGCCCUGUAUCUUGGAGGGCUCCUCUGGGGCUUCCACUGCCUUUGAAGUGGAUGGACUGAAGAUUGGUGAGCUGUAUGCUGAGCGCAGAUCUCUCUGCUGUCAGUGUGGAAAGCUUAGUUCAUUGUUUAAGAUGAAAAAUAACAACCAGAUGAAUGAAGGAAGGAUCGUUGGGAAUGAUAAGUAACACCCUCCAGAUGUGACCACCGAGCUGGGUUGAACUGGUUGCCUGGAGCAGUCACAUUACAGCCGCACAGCUUUUUGAGGCUCCUCUUCUGGAAUGUCUUCAGUAUCUGUGACUCAAGUUUUGGAUUGCUAUUUGUGUUCUUUGCUUUUUAUCAAAUCACUGAAAUUUACAGUUUAUGCUGAUUGAUUCAAAUGUUAUAAGCUGGCU